GAUCCUUUAAAAAGAAUAACAUUUUUUAUUUAUAACAUUUUAAAAGACACAACCACUUAUUGACUGUUUUAAGCAUUAUACAAUGUUCUGGAUUACCUGUGGCAUUUUAGACAAAAGAUGUAAACACAGUUCCUUUUGUUUAAGGUUGUUUUUUUUUUUCCUCCAUCAUAAGUGAUAUUCUUCAACACAUCUUGAAACCACGUUUGAUUCUUCUGAGUGAAGUAAUUGGUUAUUGUUAUGGCCUCAAUAUUUGUGGCCACAAGUUCAUAUACUUUGGCCACCUGAUGUGAAGAGCUGACAUAUUGGAAAAGACCCUGAUGCUGGGAAAGAUUGAGGGCAGGAAGAGAAGGGGGAUGACAGAGGUUGAGAUGGUUGGAUGGCAUCAUCGACUCAAAGAACAUGAGUUUGAGCAAACUCCGGGAGAUAGUGAAGGACAGGGAAGUCUGGCGUGCUGCAGUCCGUGGGAUUGCAAAGAAUUGGAUAUGGCUGGGAAAGACUAGGGAUCUCUUCAAGAAAAUCAGAGAUACCAAAGGAACAUUUCAUGCAAAGAUGAGCUCAAUAAAGGACAGAAAUGGUAUGGACCUAACAGAAGCAGAAGAUAUUAAGAAGAGAUGGCAAGAAUACACAGAAGAACCAUACAAAAAAGAUCUUCAUGACCCAGAUAAUCACGAUGGUGUGAUCACUGACCUAGAGCCAGACAUCCUGGAAUGUGAAGUCAAGUGGGCCUUAGAAAGCAUCACUACGAACAAAGCUAGUGGAGGUGAUAGAAUUCCAGUUGAGCUAUUCCAAAUCCUGAAAGAUGAUGCUGUGCUGCUGCACUCAAUAUGCCAGCAAAUUUGGAAAACUCAGCAGUGGCCACAGAACUGGAAAAGGUCAGUUUUCAUCCCAAUCCCAAAGAAAGGCAAUGCCAAAGAAUGUUCAAACUACCACACAAUUGCACUCAUCUCACAUGCUAGUAAAGUAAUGCUCAAAAUUCUCCAAGCCAGGCUUCAGGAAUAUGUGAACUGUGAAAUUCCUGAUGUUCAAGCUGGUCUUAGAAAAGGCAGAGGAACCAGAGAUCAAAUUGCCAACAUCCGCUGGAUCAUGGAAAAAGCAAGAGAGUUCCAGAGAAACAUCUAUUUCUGCUUUAUUGACUAUGCCAAGGCCUUUGACUGUGUGGAUCACAAUAAACUGUGGAAAAUUCUUCAAGAGAUGAGAAUACCAGACCACCUGACCUGCCUCUUGAGAAAUUUGUAUGCAGGUCAGGAAGCAACAGUUAGAACUGGACAUGGAACAGCAGACUGGUUCCAAAUAGGAAAAGGAGUAUGUCAAGGCUGUAUAUUA
rnacentral:lncRNA from 1 species